rnacentral:lncRNA from 1 species
GCGGGGCUUCGGUUCCGCUCCUCCGCCGUCCAAAGGGGCCGAAGCCCGUCAAGCCCCAGCUGGGACAAAACGAAGACCUUGGAUUCCCGCCCCGCCCCAGCGCUUAGAACAGCGCUUAGAACAGCGCUUGCCCCACGCGGUCGGCGCUUCACAAAGGUCAUCGUUAUUCUUACUCGGGCCCCCUCAGGAGCCUGCCCGUCCCCUCGCAGCCCCGCCCGCGGCCCCCGGGGGGCGAGGGGGGAAACUGAGGGCUCUGCUCGGCCCCGGCCCCCCGCCCUGGGAGGAGAGGCGAGAAGACGGGGCCCUGCCCCGCCGCCCGCCGCCCGGCCCCCUUACCAGAAACUGAAUCAUGGCGUCCGCGACCCGCUGCCGUUUCCCCUCCCUCUGCCCUCCCUCCCUCCCUCCCUGAGGGGCGGGGCGGGGCGGGGGGGAGGGGCGGUGGCGGCGAAGGCCGAGGAGCAGGAGGAUCCACUUCCGGGUCAGGGGUCGGCCGUCUGCGCUCCACUUCCGGCCGCCGAGCCGCCCGCCGCCCCCUGCUGGCGAGAGGCGGCGGCGCCGCUUCCGACCCCGCCGCCUUCAUCCAUCCAUCCGUCCAUUCGUUCCUUCGUUCCUUCCUUCAUCCAUUCGUUCAUUCCUUCCUUACCUCAUUCAUCCAUCCAUUCCUUCCUUCCUUCAUUCAUCCAUUCAUUCAUUCCUUCCUGGCUUCAUCCAUUCGUUCAUUCCUUCCUUACCUCAUUCAUUCAUCCAUCCAUUCCUUCCUUCCUUCCUUCAUUCAUCCAUUCCUUCCUUCCUUCAUCCGUUCGUUCUUCCUUCCUUACCUCAUUCACCGAUUCAUCCAUCCAUCCAUUCCUUCCUUCAUCCAUUCAUUCCUGCCUUACCUCAUUCAUCCACUCAUCCAUCCAUCCAUCCUUCCUUCAUCCAUUCCCUCCUUCCUUCGUUCAUUGGUUCGUUCAUUCAUUCCUCCCUUCAUUCAUCCAUUCGUUCAUUGCUUCCUUACUUCAUUCAUCCAUUCGUUCACUGCCUCCUUACUUCAUUCAUCCAUUCGUUCAUUCCUUCCUUCCUUCCUUCAUCCAUUCGUUCAUUCCUUCCUUCAUCCAUCCAAUCGUUCAUUGGUUCAUUCCUUCCUUCCUGCAUUCAUUCCUUUCUUCAUCCAUUCAUUCCUGCAUUUUCAUUCCUUCAUCCAUUCCUUCAUUUGUUCAUUCUUUCCUUCCUUCCUUCAUCCAUUCAUUUAUUCCUUCCACUCCUUCAAUCAUACUGAUUGACCACUUCCUGUGUGCGGAGCACUGGACUGAAUGCUUGGAAAGUACAAUUUGGCAACAGAGAGAGACCAUCCCUGCCCAACAACGGGCUCGCAGUCUGAAGGGGGGAGACAGGCAGCAAAACAAAGCAAGUAAUCAGGCAUCAGUUGCCUAUUCCAAGUGUUCAGUCCAGUGCUCUGCACAAAAUAAGUGCUCAAUAAAUACAACUGAAUGA